rnacentral:rRNA from 1 species
UACGAAGGGGGCUAGCGUUGCUCGGAAUCACUGGGCGUAAAGCGCACGUAGGCGGCUUUUUAAGUCAGACGUGAAAUCCCUCGGCUCAACCGGGGAACUGCGUCUGAUACUGGGUGGCUUGAAUCCGGGAGAGGGAUGCGGAAUUCCAGGUGUAGCGGUGAAAUGCGUAGAUAUCUGGAGGAACACCGGUGGCGAAGGCGGCAUCCUGGACCGGCAUUGACGCUGAGGCGCGAAAGCCAGGGGAGCAAACGGG